ensembl:lncRNA
CCAGAACAGUUCAAUUCAAAUAUUCAGAUGUGUGCAAGGCAUUUUGUGGAGGACUGUUUCCUGAUCCUGGGAGAGUAGCCUACAAUGCCGGCUGUUCUGACUCACCGCCUGUAAGUAUAUUUUCAUUUUUAAAGAAUUUGCCACUGAUGAUUCAAAUUCAGUUUUGAGCAGUGUAGAGUAGCGCUUGUUGUUUGUCGUUUCUCCAAUCACAAAUGCAGACAUUGUUUUAUGUUUAAGCAGUGCAGGGCAUUGCAACUUAGUGUGUAAAAAGACAGUAUAAGUCAUUAUAAUCAGUAAUCCAAUGUCCCCAUUGGAUGCAACAAAUGCCUCAUUUAUAAUGGGUUUUAUUGUUUUUAUCUUGUGUCUUGUUGCACCGGGACAUGGCAUCACAGUAUGACAAGGGGUGUAUCAUUUUAUCACACGAUUUUGGCCAAUCACAAUGCACUGGAUAGCUGGCCAAUCAGAGCACACCUCGCUUUUCAGACCGAUGAGCUUUGUAAAAAUCGACCUGUUUCAGAAAGGCGGGGCAUAGAGGAGCAACAAUAAUGUACAGUAUGUGGAAAAUAAUGUUUUUUGAGCCUUAAUCCGCAUAAACACAUUGCAUUACACCAAAUACACAAAAUAUUAUAACUGGUUGUGCCUGUAGGAUAUCAGAUGUUAAUAUAUCCAAAGUUCAUCAGAGGUGUAGAAACUUGAUGGCGUGUCUGAUUAAAACACGGGACAGAUACCAGUCCUUUGCUCUCUUUUAUUUUUAAGUUCAAGAUGAUUAUUCAUAGACAAUUCCCAUAGCAUGGAGAUGGACAGAUGUUAUUAGAUGGACAGGAUGAACUGGAUGGACAACAUGUACAAGAUGGUCUUAAGUCAUUAACGCAUCCUAAGGAAAGGACUCAAAGGACAUGGUUGGGUGUCCAUUCAAACACCCACACCCUCACCAAAGGAAGAGAAACAAAGGAAGGAAGUGAGGUCUAUUUAUAGACCUUGACCAGGAGGUGUAUGGGUAAUAUAGUGCACUUGCAUGGGUAUUGUAGUCUGCUUGGAAUUGUGGGAUAUGUAGUACAUAUAUAUAUAUGGGAAAAAGAAAAGGAAAAAUGAAAGAUAAGGGUUAAAUUCACAACAGUGCCACCCUUUGCAGCAAAAAAUGCAAUCAAGUGUUUGCGAUAACUGGCAAUGAGUCUUUCACAUUGCUAUGGAGGAAUUUUGGCCCAUGCACUCUUCUUUGCAGAAUUGUUUUAAUUCAGCCACAUUGGAGGGUUUUCAAGCACACAUGGACUGUUUAAGGUCAUGCCACAGCAUCUCAAUUGGAUUUAAGUCCGGACUUUGAUUUAAAACCUUAGUUUUGUUUUUACUGAGCCAUUCAGACUGAGCCAUUCAUUGUCCUGCUGCAUAACAUAACUGCGCUUGAGCUUGAGGUCACAAACUGAGGCCAGACAUUCUCCUUCAGGAUUUUCUGACAGAGUGCAGAAUUCAUGCUUCCAUCAAUUAUGGCAAGUCAUCCAGAUCCUGAAGCUGCAAAGCAGCCCCAGACCAUCACACUACCACCACCAUAUUUGACUGUUGG